CCCGCAGCGCAGCUUUUCCCCCGCUCAACUCCUCGUUCCCUCUACGCAGCCCGGGAAGAAGCUCUCUAGUCGGAGGAGCCAUGGUACAAGAAAAUGGCCGAAGACGGAGUUGCCGAGGGCGGUAGCGACGGCCGCUGCUCGCUCCGCUCCGCCGUGCGCCGCCCUGAGCGUCGACGGCCUCGGCAGCAGCCCACGUCUCCCCGCGAUCGCUUCCCCGGCGCCUACCACCGCUUUUUCGACCUAAAGUUCUUCGCCUUUACCAGGGGAUCCACCCAUCCUUCCAUCCCUAAGCCUCGCGUUUACCAACUUCUUCUCGCUUCGUGCUUCUUGAUCUGUUCCUGCUCCCUUCUUUAACCGAGGCCACGGUAAUCCUUCGUCCAGGCACUGGGAAUGAAUUUCUGGAACUGUGGGGACAUGCAGUGAGGCUUGAUUUGGUACUCUUAAUGAGGGCACCUAUACCCUUACAAUGGAUGCUGGAUGAUGACGAGUAUGCUUCCACAUGAAUCAAUAUUCAUUGAGAUGACCUAUAAUCCUAUCAAUUGGUCUGACAAAAGCUUUUUUAGGUACUUGAAAUGAAUGGGUUAGGAACUGUUGCGGUGUGCAAUGAGGCUUGAUUUGGCCAGUAAAAGGGGCACAUGCACCCUUAUGCAGGCACUUGAAAGGAAUUGUUGGAACGUGUGGUGUGGCUUGAUUUCGCCUGUGAAAGAGGUGCAUAUACUUCUUAUAGUGUUGUCGCUCUCCGUAACCGAGAAGGCUUCAAGUCAAGAAAUCACAGUCUUUAAAGGGGACAUUGGAUUCCAAUUACAUGUAUGCUGAUAUACUCUCUCAAAAAAGACUGAUAUCCAUAAUCUCUGUCUUGGCAUGGUCUCAAUGUUUCAAUUGGCCAUUGAAUCUCUCAAAGGCCUCCUCCACACCAAAGAAUAAAAGAAAAUCCUCAGAUAUGCUCCAUUUCCUGGAUGCUCUCCUCCUCAGAUAAAAAAGUUUCUUUUCCCCUCCAAGCGAUGGUCCUGCCAUCCAAAACAAAAUAAAAAGUACCUUGCCUGUGCACUUGCAUUGCAUGUGCAGGACUGUAGUAUUUAUAUGACUACAUUACUCAUGUAGUAUUUUCUUUAAUUGGUUUCACAGGAAGUGAACCUUUUCCUUUCACUUUUGAUGAAUUUUGUAAUGUCUAUGGUAAUGUGAUAAUUCCAUUUCGAAAAACUUAAGUUUCCAAACAAUUUUAGCGGAACAAUUUAUGAGUUCUAUAAACAAUUCUAUUUAUGAGUUUUCAAACUUAAUGUAAUAUCUAUAUCUUUUCCACAUUGAUCUUUGCUUGUGCUUUAGAGACCUAACCAAAUGGCUGUGUUGCACCCUGGUGUUUCCUCGAGCUUCAACAUACGAACACAUUGUAUCAGCGUUGGUGCUGGUGAUUGAAUUAGGGACCGAAGCUUCUAGAAAGAGCUGGGAUGAGAAUGUGGGGCUGAAGGGGAUACUUCUAAAUCAAGGCAAGAUGGAGACUAAACUUGAAGCUGAAGCACUUAACGAUUUGUAAAUUUUGAUCCUCCAGUUCUAAUAACAAAUGAUUUUUCUUAUGUAAGCUGCCUGGCCUUGUACUUCUGUACUAGAAUGCCCUUCUUUAAUUUUUGUAUUAAUUAAAUGUUCAAUUAUAUGUCACAGAUUUACAAUUAAUCUAUAUUUCUGUUAAUAUUA